CAACUUUCAACAAUGGUCUCCUUUCAGCAAUGGAUCUCUUGGUUCUCGCAUCGAUGAAGCACGCAGCGAAUCGCGAUAAGUAAUGUGAAUUGCAGAUUUUCAGUGAAUCAUCGAAUCUUUGAACGCACCUUGCGCCCCUUGGUAUUCCGAGGGGCAUGCCUGUUUGAGUGUCAUU
rnacentral:rRNA from 1 species